rnacentral:lncRNA from 1 species
AUGUGUAUUGGGGGCCUGAGUGGUGUAUAUGCUGUGACAUGUUACUCUACACUUCAUGGCAGGCUGCCACUAGAAAACAAUAAUCACAGUUUGAUUUUUUUUAAAUGUAGACAAGAAGUUGUGAAUAUGCAGCAAAUGUUCUGGAAGCAAACUGAAGACAUGGAAGUAAAACUAAAAAGUCCAGUGGUUCAAAAUGAGAUUAUUGUCACAGGAAAUGGAGCAGUCUCUGCAGUCAGAAAGAUAUGGACACACCAUUAUGACUGGCUUGAUAUGGGGAGAACUCCUGAUACACAGAGGCCAGUGUUGGCUGGACCUUUCUAAGCUCCUCAUUUUUGUAGCUCUGGAGCUUUCUAAGCUCCUAAGCUUUCUAAGCUUUGGAGCUUUCUAAGCUCCUCAUUUUGUCUUAAAUGGAAGGGUAUGUCAGUCAGUGAUACUGCCCCCUCUGUGUCAAAAUAAAAAAUGAAGUAAACAUGAGAAAGAAAUA